UAGGGAAGUCUUCCACCAAUGGGCGGAAAGCCUGAUGGAGCAACGCCGCGUGUGUGAUGAAGGGUUUCGGCUCGUAAACACUGUUGUAAGAGAAGAAUGACAUUGAGAGUAACUGUUCAAUGUGUGACGGUAUCUUACCAGAAAGGAACGGCUAAAUACGUGCCAG
rnacentral:rRNA from 1 species